rnacentral:lncRNA from 1 species
UUUUUCAGUCUAUUUUUCUCUAGCAAUUAUCUUCAAUGUUUAUGCUUACAAUAACCUUAGUAUUUGGCAUUACGACACUAAUAUGUGCCCAUGAGACAGACGGAGCACUACUUAUCCCAGAGGAGGUAUUAUUUAUUUAUUUAUUUAUUUUUUGAGAGGGAGGCUUGUUUCUUCACCCAGGCUGCAGUGCAAUGGUGUGAUCUCGGCUUACCGCGACCUCCGCCUUGACUCUCAGUUCAAGUGAUCCUCCCACCUCAGCCUUCCGAGUAGCUGGGACUAUAGGUGUACACCACCACACCCAGCUAAUUUUUGUAUUUUUUGUAGAGAUGGGGUUUCACCAUGUUGCCCAGACUGGUCUCCAACUGCCUGGGCUCAAGCGAUCCACCCACCUUGGCCCCCCAAGUGUUGGGAUUACAGGUGUAAGCCACCACACCCAACCUUAGAUUAAAAAAAAAAAUUAUCUAUUUUUAAUUAUCUCCUAAUUGUAAAAUUUUUACUUCCUUUUUUAUUUUUUUAAAUUCUCAGUGAUCCUUAUUCUGAUUCCUUUUGGUUUUGACAAUUAAAAAUUAUGAAAGCUGGUUGUUUUGUCUCCUAUUGCUGAAAUAAUUUAGUUGAUUUAACACUACAGAUGGUGUUAGGAUAAUGAAUACAGAACAUCAAUGAGAAUCUAAAUUAUAUCUCUUGAGACCUCCCUCAUUCCAAGGGAGGUCUCAUAAGUAUACAUGCAUACAUGUAUAACUUAU